rnacentral:piRNA from 1 species
GUGGCGUAACCUUUAUGAGUCUCUGAAUU